rnacentral:rRNA from 1 species
UUUGGUUAAGUUAGAAAGGGCGCACGGUGGAUGCCUUGACACUAGGAGUCGAUGAAGGACGGGACUAACGCCGAUAUGCUUCGGGGAGCUGUAAGUAAGCUUUGAUCCGAAGAUUUCCGAAUGGGGAAACCCACCAUACGUAAUGGUAUGGUAUCCUUAUCUGAAUACAUAGGGUAAGGAAGACAGACCCAGGGAACUGAAACAUCUAAGUACCUGGAGGAAGAGAAAGCAAAUGCGAUUUCCUGAGUAGCGGCGAGCGAAACGGAACAUAGCCCAAACCAAGAGGCUUGCCUCUUGGGGUUGUAGGACAUUCUAUACGGAGUUACAAAGGAACGAGGUAGACGAAGCGACCUGGAAAGGUCCGUCGUAGAGGGUAACAACCCCGUAGUCGAAACUUCGUUCUCUCUUGAAUGUAUCCUGAGUACGGCGGAACACGUGAAAUUCCGUCGGAAUCUGGGAGGACCAUCUCCCAAGGCUAAAUACUCCCUAGUGAUCGAUAGUGAACCAGUACCGUGAGGGAAAGGUGAAAAGCACCCCGGAAGGGGAGUGAAAGAGAUCCUGAAACCGUGUGCCUACAAAUAGUCAGAGCCCGUUAACGGGUGAUGGCGUGCCUUUUGUAGAAUGAACCGGCGAGUUACGAUCCCGUGCGAGGUUAAGCUGAAGAGGCGGAGCCGCAGCGAAAGCGAGUCUGAAUAGGGCGUUUAGUACGUGGUCGUAGACCCGAAACCAGGUGAUCUACCCAUGUCCAGGGUGAAGUUCAGGUAACACUGAAUGGAGGCCCGAACCCACGCACGUUGAAAAGUGCGGGGAUGAGGUGUGGGUAGCGGAGAAAUUCCAAUCGAACCUGGAGAUAGCUGGUUCUCCCCGAAAUAGCUUUAGGGCUAGCCUUAAGUGUAAGAGUCUUGGAGGUAGAGCACUGAUUGGACUAGGGGUCCUCAUCGGAUUACCGAAUUCAGUCAAACUCCGAAUGCCAAUGACUUAUCCUUAGGAGUCAGACUGCGAGUGAUAAGAUCCGUAGUCAAAAGGGAAACAGCCCAGACCGCCAGCUAAGGUCCCAAAGUGUGUAUUAAGUGGAAAAGGAUGUGGAGUUGCUUAGACAACUAGGAUGUUGGCUUAGAAGCAGCCACCAUUUAAAGAGUGCGUAAUAGCUCACUAGUCGAGUGACUCUGCGCCGAAAAUGUACCGGGGCUAAAUACACCACCGAAGCUGCGGAUUGAUACCAAUGGUAUCAGUGGUAGGGGAGCGUUCUAAGGACAGUGAAGUCAGACCGGAAGGACUGGUGGAGUGCUUAGAAGUGAGAAUGCCGGUAUGAGUAGCGAAAGACGGGUGAGAAUCCCGUCCACCGAAUGCCUAAGGUUUCCUGAGGAAGGCUCGUCCGCUCAGGGUUAGUCAGGACCUAAGCCGAGGCCGACAGGCGUAGGCGAUGGACAACAGGUUGAUAUUCCUGUACCACCUCUUUAUCGUUUGAGCAAUGGAGGGACGCAGAAGGAUAGAAGAAGCGUGCGAUUGGUUGUGCACGUCCAAGCAGUUAGGCUGAUAAGUAGGCAAAUCCGCUUAUCGUGAAGGCUGAGCUGUGAUGGGGAAGCUCCUUAUGGAGCGAAGUCUUUGAUUCCCCGCUGCCAAGAAAAGCUUCUAGCGAGAUAAAAGGUGCCUGUACCGCAAACCGACACAGGUAGGCGAGGAGAGAAUCCUAAGGUGUGCGAGAGAACUCUGGUUAAGGAACUCGGCAAAAUGACCCCGUAACUUCGGGAGAAGGGGUGCUUUCUUAACGGAAAGCCGCAGUGAAUAGGCCCAAGCGACUGUUUAGCAAAAACACAGCUCUCUGCGAAGCCGUAAGGCGAAGUAUAGGGGGUGACACCUGCCCGGUGCUGGAAGGUUAAGGAGAGGGGUUAGCGUAAGCGAAGCUCUGAACUGAAGCCCCAGUAAACGGCGGCCGUAACUAUAACGGUCCUAAGGUAGCGAAAUUCCUUGUCGGGUAAGUUCCGACCCGCACGAAAGGUGUAACGAUUUGGGCACUGUCUCAACCAGAGACUCGGUGAAAUUAUAGUACCUGUGAAGAUGCAGGUUACCCGCGACAGGACGGAAAGACCCCGUGGAGCUUUACUGUAGCCUGAUAUUGAAUUUUGGUACAGUUUGUACAGGAUAGGCGGGAGCCUUUGAAACCGGAGCGCUAGCUUCGGUGGAGGCACUGGUGGGAUACCGCCCUGACUGUAUUGAAAUUCUAACCUACGGGUCUUAUCGACCCGGGAGACAGUGUCAGGUGGGCAGUUUGACUGGGGCGGUCGCCUCCUAAAGUGUAACGGAGGCGCCCAAAGGUUCCCUCAGAAUGGUUGGAAAUCAUUCGUAGAGUGCAAAGGCAUAAGGGAGCUUGACUGCGAGACCUACAAGUCGAGCAGGGACGAAAGUCGGGCUUAGUGAUCCGGUGGUUCCGCAUGGAAGGGCCAUCGCUCAACGGAUAAAAGCUACCCCGGGGAUAACAGGCUUAUCUCCCCCAAGAGUCCACAUCGACGGGGAGGUUUGGCACCUCGAUGUCGGCUCAUCGCAUCCUGGGGCUGUAGUCGGUCCCAAGGGUUGGGCUGUUCGCCCAUUAAAGCGGUACGCGAGCUGGGUUCAGAACGUCGUGAGACAGUUCGGUCCCUAUCCGUCGUGGGCGUAGGAAAUUUGAGAGGAGCUGUCCUUAGUACGAGAGGACCGGGAUGGACGCACCGCUGGUGUACCAGUUGUUCUGCCAAGGGCAUAGCUGGGUAGCUAUGUGCGGAAGGGAUAAGUGCUGAAAGCAUCUAAGCAUGAAGCCCCCCUCAAGAUGAGAUUUCCCAUAGCGUAAGCUAGUAAGAUCCCUGAAAGAUGAUCAGGUUGAUAGGUUCGAGGUGGAAGCAUGGUGACAUGUGGAGCUGACGAAUACUAAUAGAUCGAGGACUUAACCAUAUAA